rnacentral:rRNA from 1 species
CCUACGGGGUGCAGCAGUGGGGAAUAUUGGACAAUGGGCGAAAGCCUGAUCCAGCCAUGCCGCGUGUGUGAAGAAGGCCUUCGGGUUGUAAAGCACUUUCAGUGGGGAAGAAAGCCUUGGGGCUAAUACCCUCGAGGAAGGACAUCACCCACAGAAGAAGCACCGGCUAACUCCGUGCCAGCAGCCGCGGUAAUACGGAGGGUGCGAGCGUUAAUCGGAAUUACUGGGCGUAAAGCGCGCGUAGGCGGUCUGAUAAGCCGGUUGUGAAAGCCCCGGGCUCAACCUGGGAACGGCAUCCGGAACUGUCAGGCUAGAGUGCAGGAGAGGAAGGUAGAAUUCCCGGUGUAGCGGUGAAAUGCGUAGAGAUCGGGAGGAAUACCAGUGGCAAAGGCGGCCUUCUGGACUGACACUGACGCUGAGGUGCGAAAGCGUGGGUAGCAAACAGGAUUAGAUACCCUAGUAGUC